ensembl:lncRNA
UUCCGGUUCAACAACGCAGUGAUUUUGAUGUGUCAUCACAGCGAAAUAAUUAUUACCAUUAAUACAAAGCACGUAUUUCAAUGUCACAGCCGUCAACUAAACACUACCAGUGAUUGUUUGGCUUUCUUAAAAGCUAGGGACUUUUAAGUGCAUGCUCAAACAGAUAAAAAAAUAACUGCCCUGGCUUAUAAGCAAAGGCAACAUUCAUGUAUAAAUUACUUUGUAACCAGAGCGCUUAUGUGUUGUACAUAAUUGCCCCUAAAUGAUUAAAUACUGAAAUAAGAAAAUAACAAAAAAUAAAAAUCAGCCAUUUUGGCUGGACGGCAUCAGUGCAGUACCUUCAAUAGUGCCCUCAGUGCUUUAGCUUCAAAAGAGACUUCAGUUUUAGCACAGAUCUGUGCAGCAGCAGAGCUCAGCUGCCACACAUACAAGUACAUUAUUUAUAAUGUACAGUAUUAUUUAUGUCAGUUUUGCCUCAAUGGUUCUUUAAAUUUUGUCAGUCAAAAGUCAUCAUGAAUAAUAGCUACUCCAAUGGCAGCUCUAAUAUACUACUCUAAUUUACAUUUACAAUAAGCAUGUGUUUGUUGUUUGAGAUUUAUAAGUACUAACCCUACUAACAAGUGAUUGAACACUAUCAAUAAAUAGUAGCAGCACUGGGUAUAAUGGACAAUAGCACAGUUGACUUUGGCUCCCAACAUACAGUAUAUAAAUAGUGCUUUGCUUUCAAUGAUUUAACAGGGUUUGCCAGACACCUUUAAAAAUAAUAUACACAUUAGUUCAUGAAAAAUUGGAACUGAGGGUGGUCUUUCGGACAAAGGUCCACUUAUUCUGGAGGGUUUAGGAUGAGGGUGUGCAACAUCAGUAAGGACACAGUCAUUUCAUAAUGUAGUGCUUCCCAAUGGGACAGUUGGAUGCUUUAGGGCUCGGGGCAAAGGAGACAUUCACAGGAGUCAGUGGUGUCCUUGGCAAAAGCAGUAGGUAGAUACUAGUGUCGCUCAGAUGGGCGGAGGUCCGUUGGUGUAGCGCAACAUGGGGUGAAAGGAGCGGGCAAAGUUGUUGGCAUGGUGACAGCUGUAGUCCUGCUCCGUCAUGGGUACGAGGCAGGCCAGGCCGAUGAGGAGGAAGAGCAGCAGCUGGACAGGGAGGGCCGCCCGGAGCACACGCAGCACAAAUGACUGGCCCCCAACAGAGGGGGACGGGCAGAGGGCGGAGUCUGGGAGGUUCAGAAACGGGAGGAACCGGAGCCAGCGACGCCUCGUGAUUUGCCCCGGCUGCAAGACGAUAGGAACAAGUCACACACACCAUUGCAAUCAAUUUGUUUGUUAGAUAAACCUGGAUGAACUGCUAUUGUAAUUUGAGGUAUCAUCAUUGUAUCUUAUGUUACUUCAAACAAACAAGAAUUUCAACACAUACACUAGACAGUUGCAUUCAUACUACUGCCAAUAACCACAUUGCUC